CCAGACUCCUACGGGAGGCAGCAGUGGGGGAUAUUGCACAAUGGGGGGAACCCUGAUGCAGCGACGCCGCGUGGGUGAAGGAGUAUUUCGGUAUGUAAAGCCCUAUCGGCAGGGAAGAAGAAAGACGGUACCUGACUAAGAAGCCCCGGCUAACUACGUGCCAGCAGCCGCGGUAAUACGUAGGGGGCGAGCGUUAUCCGGAUUCACUGGGUGUAAAGGGAGCGUAGACGGCCAAGCAAGCCAGGGGUGAAAGCCCGGGGCCCAACCCCGGGACUGCUUUGGAAACUGUAUAGCUGGAGUGCAGGAGAGGUAAGUGGAAUUCCUAGUGUAGCGGUGAAAUGCGUAGAUAUUAGGAGGAACACCAGUGGCGAAGGCGGCUUACUGGACUGUAACUGACGUUGAGGCUCGAAAGCGUGGGGAGCAAACAGGAUUAGAUACCCCAGUAA
rnacentral:rRNA from 1 species